UUCUAAUUUUCAAAAACACUAUACUGAUUAAUGCACGUUUAUAUGCAAACUCUCAUUUAUCCUACUAUAAUAAAAAUAUUUUAGGAUUUUUUUUUUCAUUUAAAUUUUGACGCUUUUAAUACGCAAAAAAAGCUUUUAGUAACCGACCGGGGAAUUGAACGUAGUAAGCAAUGGCGAACAUGAUAGAUGAAUAUUUACAGUCAUUGUUCAAAUACACAAAUGACGUCGCAUUUUUGCGUCGCACAUACACUUUAUAAAACAGAAAAUUGCGUAUAACACGUGAUUUUGAGUACAUACACUUCACGUCAGUUGUGAUGGUUUCUUUUAGAUAAAAUACAAUCGCCGUCCAUGUUCGAAUGCUCGUGUAAAGCCAAGUGUUUGUUUUAGGUUCUAAGAAAUAAGAACUGACAAACCAAUGUGAUCCGAUUGAUGUCGGUGUACUGUGAGGUAGGAUGAUAUUUUGAGGUGUAUAAGUGAUAUGGUGGUGAAUGGCAACACGAAUUGGGCGACUGCCAAGCACACUGUGAAUGAUUGUUGUGCUACCCGAGACGGCCACUUUUCUAUACACGCUUCGUACAAAUGAACCGGACCAACCUGAACCACUUCAAUGUGCUGAUAUAACAAUAGUGGGACCAUAGUUGCAAAUGACACCAACCAAAUGAGCAUCAACGAUUUGGCCACGCUGCAUCGAAAAAUUGAACCUCUAGGGUUUCGAACGAUUGUGAAGUACCUGCGAAAAUUAUUUUCAAUUAAACUUUGACGAUGAAACUUCAAAAGUAUACCUCUUUUAAAAUUAUAUAAAAUUGUGCAGACUGCUUUUUACUUUUUAUCAAAUAAUAAAUUCAAAAAUA